GGAAGUAAAAGUCGAACAAGGUCUCCGUAGGUGAACCUGCGGAGGGAUCAUUACAGAGUUCAUGCCCUCACGGGUAGAUCUCCCACCCUGUGUUAUUAUACUUUGUUGCUUUGGCAGGCCGCCCGCGUGGGCUACCGGCUCCAGCUGGUAAGUGCCUGCCAGAGGACCCCAAACUCUGAAUAUUUUAUUGUCUGAGUACUAUAUAAUAGUUUAAAACUUUCAACAACGGAUCUCUUGGUUCUG
rnacentral:misc_RNA from 1 species